rnacentral:rRNA from 1 species
GUGAACGCUGGCGGUAGGCCUAACACAUGCAAGUCGAACGGCAGCACAGUAAGAGCUUGCUCUUACGGGUGGCGAGUGGCGGACGGGUGAGGAAUACAUCGGAAUCUACUUUUUCGUGGGGGGUAACGUAGGGAAACUUACGCUAAUACCGCAUACGACCUACGGGUGAAAGCAGGGGUUCUUCGGGCCUUGCGCGAUUGAAUGAGCCGAUGUCGGAUUAGCUAGUUGGCGGGGUAAAGGCCCACCAAGGCGACGAUCCGUAGCUGGUCUGAGAGGAUGAUCAGCCACACUGGAACUGAGACACGGUCCAGACUCCUACGGGAGGCAGCAGUGGGGAAUAUUGGACAAUGGGCGCAAGCCUGAUCCAGCCAUACCGCGUGGGUGAAGAAGGCCUUCGGGUUGUAAAGCCCUUUUGUUGGGAAAGAAAAGCAGCAGGUUAAUACCCCGCUGUUCUGACGGUACCCAAAGAAUAAGCACCGGCUAACUUCGU